rnacentral:rRNA from 1 species
GCCAGCAGCAUACCACCCUGCAUUCCACUGCUGGCUUGCUUCUGAAGCUAAGCAGGGUUGGUCUUGGAUGGGAGACCAGAUGCUGCUGGAA